UGACCUGUACCCCAACAUGUGAAAUGCAUCAGUCUGAAAGAAGAUCCUCAUGUUCACAGUGAUGUGAGCUCAGGGCAUGCUAAAUGUCUACGUGGAUGCCAUGACAACACCAUUGUUUAUCAUGGCUUUAACAUAUCAUAGCUUUAGUGCUCAAAAGGCGUCUCUUGCCUCAUGAGUGUUUCCCUCAUUGACUACGAGAUGGUAUGAUGCACGUCUACAUGUGAAGUACGUUGGCCUUCGAGCCAGUGGGGUGGCUGGAGAUCAGUUGUGUGGUGGUUUCUUGGUGCUCUGUGUUUUCUGGGUUCCUUGAUCCGAUUCCCAUGUCAUAGGAGUGAUCAUGACCUUGGGUUUUGAGUCAGGUUCAGACUCUACUGCCUUUGACCUAUGCCCAUAAGGAGAGAGCUAGAGGGUGCGGCCUAAGGGGAAUAGAACGAGCAUAGUGAUUAGCCGCCGGGCCCUCAGUGUGUGGAGGGAAUCGUUUGCGACAGAGCGGAAGAUGAGGGCGUAUGACCGUGGAACUGCACAACAUGCUGCAGUUAUACGUAGCGGUCACUCGAGACUCGAGCGAGUGCUCUAUCUAAUGACUAAGAGUUCUGGGGCCAGACCGACAUGAACUCGUUUUAAAACACGGACUCAAGUGAAACAGGGAAACAGUGUUGUGCACGUGGUGCAUCCCCCCCCCCUCCCCCAACCACCCUGCUGGUGUAGCCGCCUCUCGCGGUGGGCAGAGCUCCACCACAAGCAACAGUGUGCGUUUAGAAUUCAGUUUUGUUAUGGCAGGGAACAAUGAGUAUAGUGCCCCUUGGGUUGUGUUCACAGUGUUCAGAUGAUUCCUUUAAGACACUUCUGUUUGAAACAUGAGGUACAGAAACAGCUGGUACCAUGAGAUCUGCAUAAGGGGGAGGGCUGGGUCCCUUCGCAGACAUACGCACUGCUAGUGAUCGGCCAUCGAGGACCGAAGGGAGGAAUGCUGGUUGAACCUAGACGGCUACAAGUACUCACAUAGCCACUCAUAGCCAUUCACUUAGCCCCUCACCAAGCCACUCACAAAGCAAGGUGCUAAGCAAGCCACGAAGCAGGCCACUAGGCAAGCCGCUAAGCAAGCCGCUCACUAAGCCACUUACCAAGCCACUGUCUCAGGUCUCAUCACUGCCCCAUUGGCCUUCAGUUAGCUGUCUCAGCCUUAAGACACGAUUCGUCCCUCCUUCACUUGAGUUUCCUCUCCCAGAGAAGAAAAUAUAGACUAGUAUCAAUCACUUCUAAAACAGAUACUAAUACCUUUAAGAGGGAAAGCACGCACACGUAGCUCACAAAAUACAGAUCUAAAAAGUGCAAAAGUGCAUAUUGUCCGAGUCCAUGUGGUGUGUGGAGGUUAGAAUGAUGCCGGUGGACACAGGAGGACGUUCCCCACACUCAGGAAGAGAAGGUGUUGGUUGGACAGACCGGGACGGAGGAGUGGGUUGCAGGGGGGAUUGAAGAGGUAGGGCUUUGCAUCAGUCACGUUAAACGAAAAAAAACAA